UUCAGCUUCUUUCUUCUUCCUCUUCACCUUUUUCUCUUUCUGCUUUUGGAAAAGCCACACAAAUGUCAAAGUAAAUAAUAACCAUAUGAGAUCAAGCGAUGAACCUGUUUACAUACUGUUGUUUCGAUUUUAAGCAACAUAUAAGAAAGAAAUAACCUCUAGAAACUCCACUUCUACCUUUCAUUUUCCCACUGCCACGUAACCCCUUAUUAUAGAAAUUGAUAUGUGGUUUAAAAUUCUAUAUUUUUCUUUGAAAACAUUAAAGGAAUUGAGUCAUGAAGCAGAAGUGACAUUAGAGAAACAACAUUGUUGUUCAGCAAAUAGGUAUAACCUAUCGAGUUAAUAACAAGUACACCUUUGCUGGUGUUUGAUACAAAUUCUCUGCAAAAUCUAAUUUGGUGUACGAUAGCGCCAAUGACAUUCAUUGAUGAUGAAAAUCAACAGCUUAAUCAAAAUCCAAUCACUUCAACGGGAAUUCAAUUGAAGAUGAUAACUCUGUCACAGUUCAACCUUCCUAAUGAUUGUUUGGUUCAUCAUCGUAUAAUUAAAGAUAGGAAGGUGAUUUUCAAAUGGGUAAUGAUAUGCUUCUUAUUCAUGUAUAUAUUUGGUAGUUUUUGCCUCUAAUUUUCUGCUACUUCAGAAUUGUUGCGUUAAUUCACUACACUAAGGAUGAUACUUUGAUGGCAGGAUGAUAUUACGGCAUUGGUGCAUUUGAUGACCAUGGUAAAGCUUUCAUUUGAUGAUCCUUUUGUACACUCUAAAUUCUGUCAGUUUAUAUACUGCAAGUGAAAAAAAGGUUGACAUGAAAGGUAGAGAAUUCACAAUAUUCUAUCGCUGAUCAAGAAACUAACUUGAAAAAACAAGAAAGCCAUGUUGAUCCAGAUAGUUGAUGCGACUGUAAGUCUUCUUCUUUCCGAUGAGACUGAGACGGUAGUUAAGAGCUGUGAGUUACAUUCUACAAAAAUUGCAAAAGGUAACACUUAGAUUCAUGUGGAAAGGUAGUUUUACUAUACAAGUUCCCUCCAUGUGUUGCUAACUGGACUAAUAAUAUUCAUUUGCAAUUCUAUUUGUUUGAACUAAGGCUUUUAUCAUAGCUUUGUACUCAUUGAAUUUUUUGAGUUCUAAUUUUCUGUUUCCAUCAGGGUUCGGGGUGAUCCGCUUGCAAUGUCGACUAUGGGGAUACUGAGAUUAAGUUGAAAUUCCGCUUUAAUUGAUUCUAUUGUGAAUACCAUUGGAUUUUUUUUGAUAGCUGAAGAAUUGAUUGUUUUGUAACCAUGUAUGCAUUUUGUGAUUCAGGUGAUUGGAAGUGAGGCUGAUAUUAUUUCCAUAACAUGAUCGUUCAAAUGUAG